rnacentral:rRNA from 1 species
AAUCAACGCUGGCGGCGUGCCUAACACAUGCAAGUCGAACGGGAAAGCACUCUUCGGAGUGCGAGUAAAGUGGCGAACGGGUGAGUAACGCGUGGGUGAUCUACCCUUGGGUGGGGGAUAACUUCGCGAAAGCGGAGCUAAUACCGCAUGAGCCUCAUUUUGUAAGCGAGAUGAGGGAAAGUUUUCGAAUGCCGAAGGAGGAGCCCGCGUCCGAUUAGCUAGUUGGUGAGGUAAGAGCUCACCAAGGCGACGAUCGGUAACCGGUCUGAGAGGACGGACGGUCACACUGGGACUGAGACACGGCCCAGACUCCUACGGGAGGCAGCAGUGGGGAAUUUUGGGCAAUGGGCGAAAGCCUGACCCAGCAACGCCGCGUGGAGGAUGAA